AGACAACCCCCCGAGACAACACUACAGACAGACCCCUCUAGACAACACUAGACAGACCCCUCUAGACAACACUACAGACAGACCCCUCUAGACAACACACUAGACAGACCCCUCUAGACAACACUACAGACCCCUCUAGACAGACCCCCGAGACAACACUACAGACCCCUCUAGACAACACUACAGACAGACCCCUCUAGACAACACUAGACAGACCCCUCUAGACAACACAGACAGACCCCCCGAGACAACACUACAGACAGACCCCCGAGACAACACUACAGACAGACCCCUCUAGACAACACUACAGAGACCCCCCGAGACAACACUACAGACAGACCCCUCUAGACAACACUAGACAGACCCCUCUAGACAACACUAGACAGACCCCUCUAGACAACACUACAGACAGACCCCUCUAGACAACACUACAGACAGACCCCUCUAGACAACACUACAGACAGGCCCCUCUAGACAACACUACAGACAGACCCUUUUAGACAACACUAGACAGACCCCUCUAGACAACACUACAGACAGACCCUUUUAGACAACACUACAGACCCCUCUAGACAACACUACAGACAGACCCUUUUAGACAACACUACAGACAGGCCCUUUUGGUUCUAUCGAGAUUAGUGAAUGACAGACAGUAGGCUACAGUUAGCAUCAUUCACUAAGAACAGCAUUGAUCCAGAACAAUACCGGUAUUUUGAGUUCUGGAAGUGGACAUUAGGAGUCAGGGGUCAAAACCCAGAAGGCUGCUAUUGUUGGCAGACCUGAUCCAUGUGUGUUCAUCUUUCAUGUCUAUUCGUUGUUACUCACACUAACCUGAGGUCAGAGGGCAGUUAAAAAGCCACGUUGUAAAUCUGGACGGAACACGAGGCAGCAACGAGCUGGAUUCAUGCUGUAAAAAUGAUUAAGUAAUACUUUUAAAAAACUUUUAAAAACUAUCGGUAAUAAACUAUUUAUUAAAUCAUAACUCCCACAUUUCUAAACCAUUUACUCGUCAUUAAAGUACUUUUGAGGUUCCUAAGCUAAAAUGAGCGCUAUUUAACACUGACCUAACUAACCCUAAAUGCUGUGCAUUAAAAUAAGAACUUUAAAAUAAAAAGUGUAACCGAAGAUAAAAACACAUGACUAUAUGAGUCACAAUGACAGACAAGUCCAAAACACAUGACUAUAUGAGUCACAAUGACAGACAAGUCAAAAACACAUGACUAUAUGAGUCACAAUGACAGACAAGUCAAAAACACAUGACUAUAUGAGUCACAAUGACAGAC
ensembl:lncRNA